GGAUAGAGCAACUGCCUUCUAAGCAGUAGGUCGGGGGUUCGAGUCCCUCUCAGCGCGCCA
rnacentral:tRNA from 1 species